UAAGACGGAAGGACCCGGAUGUGGUUCUCUUUCCUGAAGGAACAGCCAUGAGCAGAGUGCAGCUCCUCUUCGACACAGCAAAACUGAGAAGACUGCAUCAUGUUUACUCUGCAGGAUGAAGGGGUGCAGAUGAACAGUCCUGGCUGAUUGAUGAAGAAGUCGUGCUGCAGUCAUGAGAAAAGCACCUGAUCAGAAGAUGUCGUGCUGCAGUCAUGGGAAAAAAAGCACCUGAUGAAUCCCUGUUUGCUGUGCCUAUCGGGAGAAGUCGUGCUGCAGUCAUGACAAAAGCACCUGAUCAGAAGUUGCUUCAGAAGUUGGGCUAUGUCACAGAAGAGGCAUCUAAAAAAUCCUCAGUUUGAUGUGCCUAUCAGGAGGUGAGCAGUUGGAUUAUCAGAAGAAGCAGACUCACUCCAGGUGUCCGCUCUGAAUGUGCUCUCACCUCCCAGCACUCUGAACUUCACAUCCUCCUUCAGUGCCGAGCUGCAGAUCCUGCAGAUGAAGUCGUUUCUCACCGUGGCGGACUCUGUGGCUCCGGGAGCAUGGACUCGGAUGUGGUGAAACCCUACAGUCCAGGAAAUCAAAUCUUAUUCUCUAUAAAUGCUACUUGUCUGAGAUUUAAUUUCAAGAUAACAACCUUUUUGAUGUUGUUAGCAUGCCAGCUAGUACCUGCAGAGCAAGGGCAUUCCUCAUCGCUGCAGAGGAACCGGGCCCCCUGGGUGUAUUUGGUGACCCUCGUUAUGGCGAUGACCAGGCCCUCCAUGAAGACCGGCCUCAUGGGCCCAUACCCCCGAGGAAAACUACAAAGGUCCAAUGAGUACUCGGGGAAUGGAGGAAGCUUGAACUCACGCGCCAGCUUCAAACAAGGUACCAUGGUAACAAUUUAAGGACCCGGAUGAACUGCGAUGGAAUGUACAAUUUUAAUAAAAAAUAAAUGAUUAUGUAAAAUGUAUUUAAUUUAUUAUGCUAUCAUAAAAAAUAAAUACUGUUAGGAGAAAAUUAUAAAUACAAUUUAAUGUAAAUUAAUUUAUCCUCAAAUUACUACACAAAAUAUAUUAUUAGUAAUAAAUAGUUUUAUGACGGCCCUAUUUUUGUUGACCACUCAGCAGCUGAAGGACCCGGAUGUACUGCGAUUAAAUGUCAGUUAAAUCAAAAUAUAUAAUAAUAUCAUACAAGUUUAAUACUUUAUAUUGAAAUAAACAAUAUAUAAUACUUUAAUGUAAAAUACCGUAAUCUCAAAUUACUACAAAACAUACAUUAUUAGUAAUGCAGAAACAAACGGUUUCUUAAGGCAAUCUUUUAGCGACAGGUAACUAGCUUCAAACAUGUUGCCAUGGUGACCAGGAUGUACAGCGAUUAAAUGUACGACAAAAUAAUAAAAUAAUAAUGUACAACAUAUUAAAUAAAUUAGAUUGAAAUAGGAAGAAAUACAUAAAAUCAUGUAAUGUAAAAUAGCUUCAUUUCGAGAUACUACACACAAUGCAUUAUUAGUAAAGAAUACAAACACACACUUUUCUUUCAUAUUUUUUUAAUUAAUCUGCAGGAAUAUAAACCUACUUAAUUGCCAGCAGGCGAAGCAAAGCAUUGUGGAUUCUAAUUUUGGCAAUCAUGAAUAAAUGCGUUAAGGCAAAGAAUAGAAAACAAACAAACAACCCAAUAUAAAACUAAAUAUUUAAAGACAAACAGAAAUUGAAGUUUUCUACAAAUCUGACCUAUGAACCAAAAUGCAUUAUUCAGCGGUCUCAAGUAAUCCCUAUUUCCAGCGUAGUUAAAAUGAAUAAGACACAGAGUGUAUUUAUACAGUAAUUACAUGGACCAACACAUUUCCAUGUCAAAUGGUGUGAUUUUAGGUCCAGUUAAUUGUUCAAGUGUCAAUUUAAGGCUUUUUAAAGGCUUGUUUUAGAAACCACCAUGAAUAACAGUAAUAGAGGAUGUCUGUCCUUAAUUCUUAAAAAUAUCAUCUGUUAUAUAUAUUUAUAUAAAUACAAAUUUAUUAAAAAAUCUGGCACAUUUUGUUCCAACCCACAUUUUUAAGUGCUGUUUAUUUCCAGCUGCUUUGGCAUCAGAGAACAAGUAAAGAGUGUAUAAACUUUUCCCUUUAGUCAAAAGGAGUUAUGGUGACGGUUAAGGCAAACGUUGGGAACGCCUCAGAGGAAGGAGUCGUCGGAGGCCGGGGCAUAGGAGAAGCCCACGAAGGCGUCGUCCGCCUCCAUCACGCUGGCGUUCACGAUGGAGUGAUCCUGAGACCAGCAGAUGGAGUUCGGCACCGACUCGUCCGUAAACUCAGGGUCAAAGUUUGAAAUGUCGCAGCACGAACUCUGUGGAAACACCCGGGAGAGAAGGGGUGAGUACAUUGAGCAAACUGCAUGUGUGAAUUAAUUAAAAAGGACUUCAUUUGACACCAAAACAGUUGCAAAUUGGUUUAAAAUUUGAUAAAAUAAUUAGGAGUAAAUUCAGUAUUCCCACAGCAAGGCAAGAUAGUAUUAAUACUUUUUCUUGCCACUCAAAAUGUAAUUAAAUACCAGUUUUACCGGGGGUUUUUUCACACAAAUUAUAGCUUUAGCUGGCCUGUUUUGAUUGGACAACCGCUUAGAGAUUUCCCGCCCCUUAACCUAUCACAUUUUUUAUGUUACAACCACUGUUGUUUUUUAUUCAACAAGGAGCCUUGCAAAAAUGUACUUCACCUGAGUAUAAUUCAAAUAGAUUGGAAAGGAUGGUUCUUAACUAGCCACUGUUAAUUAAAAAACAGCUGCGCAAUCUAGUAUGAUUGGAGUAAAAACAGACAGAAUAUUUACCACAUUGGGUAUAAAUGGUGGAGCGAUCUUCUUCUGCUCCAGGUCGUCCCAGUUGAUGGAGGAGAAGAAGUCGUGUGCUUUAAUUUCAUUCUGAAAACCAAGAAAAAAACAUCAGUUUUUAUUUAUAGAAAGCUGGGAUAAUUCACAUGUUGUCCAGCAGAGGGAGCCCCCCCACAUCACUGAGCUUUAAUGUGGUGUGUAUCCUGGACUCACAAAGUCGUCUCUGGAGCCCAGUCUGUGCAGGCCCUCCUUCUCCAGCAGGCCCUGCAGCAGAGACCAGGCGGAGCUGGAGGCACCGGGACGCAUCACCAGAGGUUUGUGCAGGAUGUUGUCGUACAUCUCGUGAGUGUCUCUGCUGUAGAACGGGGGCUGCACAGGAAGGAGUACAGAGUGACGGUAACAACUUGUUAUGAGUGUUUGGUGGUUGUUCUACAUCUCUUUUUGUUAAUCAGCGUCUGCUAUAGGUCAUUUUGUGUUUUGCCUUUCUUAUUCUGUUUGUUGUGUGUCUCUUUUUGGAUGUUUUAGCUUUCCUUUAUGGACAUGUUGUGUCUUUCUUUGGUUCUUUUGUGCCUCUUUGGAGACAUUUUGAGAAUCUUUGUGGUCAUUUUGCAUCUUUUUUUGGAUGUUUGGCACUUGGACGUAGACCUUGAUGUCCCUUUUAGACAUCUUGAGUGUUUUUUUGCGAUACUUUGUAGACGUUUGUGCCUCUUUUAGGAUAUUUUGUUUCUAUUCAUAGAAAUGUUGAUGCUUAUGGUGGUCCUUUUGUGCCUUAAUGGUUGAUAAGCGUCUGUUUUAGGACGUUUCAAGCCUCUUUUACAUGAUUUUGCAUCUUCUCAGAGACAUUUUCUGUCUCUCUUUGGUUGUUUUGUAAUUUGUUUCCUACAAAAAAGUACAAUGCAUGCGUGCUAUUAGAUCUCAAAAAGGGUCUCACCAGUCCGAAGAGCAUCUCAUAGAGCACAGAGCCCAGACACCACCAGUCCACCGUGUUAUCAUACGGCUGCUUCCUCAGCACCUCUGGAGCCAAAUACUGUCAGGAGGAGCACACACACAUUAAUCAUUAUUAUAAAACUCUGACGCGCUGCUACGGGCUUUUAAUACUCCACACACAUCACUAUUUUUAAUCUCUUAUAUCUGUACAGACCCCACUAGAGCCUAGAGAGAAUUCACUUGCAUUAACUUGUCUUAAAGAAGCCACAAUCCUGCAGAAAUCUGGAGGAUUUUCAGGAUGAUUCAGGUCUCAAUCUGUGUGAUAAAGAUGAUUAAAACAUCUUGUCCCCUGCAGCCGUACCUCAGGCGUCCCACAGAAGGUGGUGGUGGUGUCCGUCUGAGAGAUGCCUUCCUUGCACAACCCGAAGUCGGUGAGGAUGAUGUGUCCCUGCAGAGAGAGGACACAUGUCCCACACAAGCAGCUCAUUAUGAUCCUGCAGACUAAGGACGCUUUUGUUGAACAGGAAUGUGAGUCCCAUUCAGGCGCCUCACUUUCUCAAUGGGAAAUCAUUACAGAGACGUAAUCACACUCACUGCUGGUGCAGGAGCAAUCACACUCGUGCUAUCUGUUUUAUUAGUAUGUGGAAAGGGAGGAAUCUGCAUGCAUUGAUUAGACACUGCAGUUUCAGAUUAACUGACAUGGAGAAAGUAGGUGUUGCAGUAUUAUUGCUGAUUAAUUAAUCGCACUGUUUGUUAUUUAAAGUCCUUUUUACAUUGGAAUAUUGGUAUCUAAUAGAGGAAAGUAUCUGCUUAUAUAUCCUGUAGAAUUCUUUUAUACAUGUGCAUUAUCUGGGCUCUGCAGCUCUGAGAGUAGGUGCUUUUCCAGCCAGCCUAUUGGUCUAUAACAGGGAGGUUUCUGCUAUUAUCUCCUGCACAGUGUCCCAACUUAACAGCUUUUUAUGCAAAUAACUACAUGUGCAUGCAUUGAUCCAGUUCCAUUUCAACGCAAAGAAAGCAGGACUUGUGCCAAGCAUGUAUAAAUUGUAAAAACAGGAAUACUCACCUCUUGGUCGAGGAGGAUGUUUUCUGGCUUCAAGUCUCUGGACAAAGUGAAUUAAACACAGAGACAUUAGUCCAAAUGACCCAAUUGCAACCCAAUAUCAGCGAGAAAUGAUAAUAAUAUAUAUAUUUUGUGACAUGACUGUAAUGUCGGGAAUUAAAAUAUAGAUACAAAUCAGAAUCAGCCCUAAAAAUAUAUAAAUUCUGAUUAAUUGUUGAAUAUAGUUUGGUUUUCAGGUCAAUCAAACCCUCAAAUUCCCCCAAACCAAUUGAAAAACAGCUGAAUUAUCUUGCAUUUCAUACAUAAACCUUGUGUCUUCAAAGUGUGAUUUGAUAAGGUAUGUUUAGCAGACUUAAUACACAUUUUCUGGUUGAUUUAACAACCAGAACACUAAGCCUGUGUCCUCUUCCGUUAGACCCCCCCCUCACCUGUACACGAUGUUGAGGGAGUGCAGGUAUCCGAGAGCACUCGCCAUCUCUGAGAUGUAGAACUUUGCUCUGGGCUCCGGAAAGGUCCGCUCCUUUUGGAGGUGGAAGAACAGCUGAGAGGAACAAGGUGUGUUCGGUUAGAGGAGGGAUAGACACAGGAAUCACCUCAGAUUAAAUACAUACAGAUAUCUGGGGUAAAAGUGUAGAUUCAUUUCAUUCACAGUUAGUCACAGAAAGCGUCUCUGGGGGAGGAUUCACACAUGGGGGAGGAAUUUAAAUGACGCAUCACUUCCUGUUUCACUCUCAGCUCUCCUUGACCCGAUGACUCAGUCGUGUGUGAGAGCGUGACUCAUACAGACUCACUUCUCCUCCGUUCACAAAGUCCAGCACGAAGUAGAGUUUGUCCGUGGUCUGGAAGGAGUAGUGGAGCCCCACCAGGAAGGGAUGCUUCACGUUCUUCAGCAGCACGUUGCGCUCCGCCAUGAUGUGCUUUUGCUGAUCGGAGAGCAGAGUUCAUUAAAGGACAUAAUGAGGCUUUGAAUAUAGGUCUUGUGUCCUGGUAGAGUUACCUCUUUCCUGUUGAGGAUGACCUUUUUCUGUAACACCUUGACCGCGUAAUACUUCUCGUCGUGUUUUCGUUUGGCGAGGAAAACCUGCGUGAGGAGAAAGCUUGUUCACCAGAGUCUCACUUCCUGUGUGGGAACAUCCCGACACAAGCAGAACCAAAACUGAUGCCAGCACACAGAGUCUAGAGUUACCCAACAACAACAACAACAACAAACAUGUGUCAGACAACAAGAUCCUGCAAAGAGGAUUUACAGAAUGGACUUUCUGGAGGAUGAAAUGCACGGCUGACAUAUUAAAUAAAGUGUAUACUGUUCUUAGCAGGGUAAUUGCACAGUUUGUGAUAUUAGAUCUAGGUAAACAGAAAGUACUUUGGAGCAUCGUGAGGUUCACAUACCUUCCCAAAACUCCCUUUCCCUAUGACUUUCAGAAAGUCAAAGUCUGUGGGCUUGGCGCUGAAACACAAUCAGAUAACCCUUGGUUAGCUUUGUGUUGAACACUAGAUGUGAGGAGUGUGUUUGAGUAAAUAUAGAUAGCUGUCUUGCCGCAGUGGGGGGGACUUACUGUGGAUUUCCAGAGGGUCCCAGGUUAAUGUUUCUGGAGGUAGAGUUGUUCUGGUAAUGAGAAACACAGAAACACUGACUCACUGUUUACUCAUAAUGAGGCUUGCAAAGUUCUAAGAUUUCCUCCUCGUCAUUGUGUUUGUCUGAAGGCUGAGUCUCCCUUAGAGCUUUCUGAGUAAAGUAGUAAUGAAAUGAAUAAGAGGGUGGUUAAUAACAAGGUUCUACUAGUAGAGGAAGUCAAAAGGUUUUCAUCUGAGGGGAGCGAGUUAUCCAUCUGUAUUUAUUUUGAGAGGUGGGAAUGAAUGAUCUGAAGUGGUUGAUUAGUGGCUCACUCUGUCGUCUUCGUCCUCAGAGGCGUCAGAAAAGUGCUGCCUCUUGUCCAUCAGCAGGAAGGCCCUCACAUCUGGCCUGGAAACAGAAUCAAUGACACACAGAUCAGCAUUACUGAGCAGAGAACCAGGCAUUACCUGAGAUAAAGCCAGUGAUAUUUUAUUAUAAAGUCUGAUGUAGUGAUCUCUUACUGGGUGCAGAGCUGAGGGUGAGAAACGAUCCUCUUGAUGAACUCGUGCAGCCCGGCUCGUCUCUGCUUUAUAAACUCUGUUCAACACAUGCAAAUAUUAUUUAACAAAUAGAACAAAUCACCAUGUUGCACAUCAGGUACUUGGAUUAUUUCCUGAGGCACGUUAGAUCUGCAAUUUGUGAUUACUCUGAUUAAUGAUUUAUCUGCAGAUUAUUUCCUAGAUAAAUAUAUAAAUUGGUCUAUAAAAUGUCAAAAAGGUACAUCCUAAUUACUAAAAGUUGAAGGUUUUGUCCUAAAAUGUCCAACUACAUGAACUUUAAUAUGAUAUAAAACAGAGAAAAGCAGGAAAUCCUCAGAAUUGAGGGACUGGAAACAGAUUUUUUGAGACAUUUCUGCAGGAAAAAUGCAUUAAAUGACCAGUUGAUUAUCAGAAUAGGUGAGAGAAUAUAUAAAAAUCCAACGGCUUUCUGCUGUUUUAAUACCUGUGUAAUGGUAUAGUUCACGCCUUAUUGUACAGUGAAUCAGCGCAGUGUGGAGACUCACCAGGUUCAAAAUUGUCCCCAAAUAUCCUCUUGGCGGGAAUUUUCAAGUUCAUGGCAGGAAACUGUUUCCUUAACUGCAUCAGAGACAGGAAGUGAUGUCAGGGCCGUGAUCACGAGGCUUUCAUUAUUAAACAUCACAAAAAUCAGAAAAUCAGAAAAUCAAAGGGAAUCAAACACUCGUGAGCAGAGUUACAGCUGUGUGUGUGUGUGUGUGUGUGUGUGUGUGUGUGUGUGUGUGUGUGUGUCUGUGUGUCUGUGUGUCUGUGUGUGUGUUAAAGAGACUCACUGUGUUGUAGAGUUUAUCAAACUCUGCGUAGCGUCUGAACACGAACCACUCCUGCUGCCCCACGUUCACUAUCACCUUAUAAACCUGGGGGUUAAACACAAAGCACAAUCAACACAACUAGAAAAAGACUUCUUCUGGUUUGAAAUGCUCAAUGUGUCCUAUUUUUAAAAAUAAUGUAGUUUUGUGCAGAAACGUGCAAAACUGUCCAAGAAAAGUGCAAAUAUUUCCUUACUGUUUAUCUCCUAGCUGUGUAUUUAAUGGAUUUAACGUAAUUUUACCGUGAAGCGCUUCUUCUUGUCCCGCUGCUCAUCGUGGCAGGGAAUGCUGACGUUGGGGAGGCCGGGCUGCUCCUCCAUGAUGGUCCUGCAGGAUCAAAGCGUCCCUGGAGUAGAGAUCCUCCUCCUCAGACUGAGACUCAGGAGCAGAACCCCCCCGUCCUCAUCGUGCUGCAGAACAGAGAACAGAAACAGAGGACCUGCUACGGCUCUACUUUCUCCCACUGUGUGUGCUGAUCCUGAACGCAUCCUGCAGGAUGUGUGUGUCAUUCUGCUCACGUUGGAUUCAGGGACCCUGUGUUUACUUCACAUCUACAGCUGUGCGAGGAGCUGCAGAUCACUUCUCAAUUAAACCCAGAUCAUAAUGAAACUGUACAUAUAGUACAUAUCUUUUCAGGAAGACCAAUUAUUUGUAUGUAUUGAUAUUUUUAAAUGUUAUUUUCAAGGUGUGAUUUUAAUAAGUGUUUGGUCUCUAAAUGUAUUUUACUGUUGCAUUAUUUCUGUUAAUAUCUCACUAUUUAGAGAAAUGUUUAUCUCAUUUAUUUUUUAUUUAUUGGUUUAAUAAAAACGUG